CAAGAAUCCCAAAACUCCAAGCUCAAACGGCAUCGCUUACAGUGCUUCUCAACUCUCCUUGCAAGCACUAGUGAACUAGAGAGCAAAUUCGACAAAAUCCUCCACAGAAAGGGGAGUGUAAAAUCAAAAUCGACGAAAGAAUGGCGAUAUCGGGAGAUUUGAGGGUCUCUGCAGCUAUGGUUCGUUACAAAUCCAACCCCCUUUGCACCUCACUGCACUUACCUCUUCCAAGGUUCGUUUCGUCCUUACUUUCCUUAUUGGUGCGCUUCUUAACUUUCGUUUUAUCUUGGCGUGGAUUUCAUGUUGUGAUGAUGGUGUCGGGAAAUUGCAACAAUGCAAGAGGAGUCGUUGAGGCUAUUGGUGUUUUUCGUUUUCGUGCUUAAGUUUUAAUGGAUAUUUUUAGGGUCAAUCCAGGAUUUAAGUUCACUUGAUGAAGUUCAAGAUUUAUCCUUCCAACUUUGUGAUUUACUGUUGAAGGUGAACAAAAAUAUUGAAAACUCCAUUGCUACACUGGAAUAUGAUUUUAUAUACAGUAAAAAACUGAGUUAAUUUUCAACCCCCAUAAAUACUCAAAAUAUACAUACAUACCAUGAAUUGUGUGAAAAGUUUGUGCAAAAAAGCAGUUAUACUUACAUAAUUAAGGUAACCAACAAAAACAAAAUGAGAUUUGUAGUAUAUCAGCACUUAAACAAGAGGAUAGUUUGAAGAUUGCUGGGAGACAAUGGAAUCCAAUUAGAAAAGUAAGAAAAAGGAAUGUAAUAUGAUCAAAAUACUAUCACAAAUCAAUUUCCAAUCGCACACAUUAUAUUAUAGAUUUUUAGCCGAUGAUUGAGACCCAUUUUUGGCAUAUUAAAUGUUCGAAUUGGUUUUACUUGAGGGGCAGCUUAGUGGUCAGGUUUUGGGCUUGUUCUCCAAUGGUCACCAGUUCGAGUUUUCUCAGGACUACGGAGGUGAGUACCCGGCUGUAAAUUUUAGGGCCUUGUGGGAUUAGUCGAGUUGCGCAUAAGUUGACUCGGAUACCCACGGUCAUUAAAAAAAAAAUGUUCGAAUUGGUAAAAUUCUAUAUCUAAAAAAGUUGUAACCCGUUGAGUCAGCUUUCGAAGAAACUUUGAAUCGCCUUAAUCAAAUAUUGGAAAAGAAAGUUAUGAUAAAAAUAUUGAUUACGAGAAAAAACGUACGCGAAUCGAUUGGAACUCUUUUCGAAACCAAUUUGGCCGUGAUUUUUAACCAAUUUUUUAUUCCUACAAAUACCUAAUAGAAAAAUACAUAUUAAUGAUCCCUCAUAUUCAUCUCAUACUAUGAUAUUCUAUCAAUUUUCAUCAUAAACAUCAUAAAAUAGGGGCAAAAUCAUAUAAUGUGAGAAUCUUCCAGAGGUGAUGUUCAAAAACUCAUCAAUUGGAGAUAAUUGGAGAUUGAACUUGUGAUUUGUGGGCAAAGAAGUGUAAGAAUUAUUGAAGAUUUAUCAAGAUUGCUUUGAAGAAAUUCGAGAACAACAAGAUUCAUCUUUCUUCAUUCAUUAAUUCACAAUUCCAGGUGAUGUUCCGUACAUUUAACAUGCUUUCUUAGAAUUCAAAUAUACUAGGCUAGUUUUAUACAUUGCUAAAAUGAUAUGAAUCCUUGUUAUGAUAUUUUUUGCUUUUAAUUAAUUAUUUUAACUUUAUUUUCGUUCGAUUUGUGGAUUUUUAUUAUCUUUUUUAAUCUUUUUUUGUUUUUCAAUUGCUUGAUGACCAAUUUAAUUCUUAAUGAAUUCUAUGUUAUCGAGAGAGACAAUAGGGUUUAAACACAAUACAAUAAACAUCAUAAGGUUUGAUAGAUGAUAGAAAUAUACUUACAUGCUUUUAAUAGGUGUUCUAGCACUUAAAAAUGUAUUUAUCAUGUUUGCAUCUUUUAUCGAGGGAUAGAAUGGUCAUAUCAGAGGAAUAGAUUUGAUCCCUAUCGAGAGAGACUUUCAAUUAAAUUAGAAACAUUGAUCAAUAUGAAUGAUUUCAAAUUGUCACAUUAAUUACACAAAAAAAAAAUUUAAUAAUAAUAAAGGGGAUUAGACAUCAUAGCAGUGCAUUACACAUAUUUGAAAAACACAUUUACUUGUUUUAACUAUUUUAAUUGGUAAUUUAGGAAUUACUAUAGAAAAAUCACAACUUAUUUUUGGGUGUCAACGGGCCGAGCUGGCUUGAGCUUUUUUUGGCCCGGGCCGGGCCGAGCCGAGCCGAGCCGAGCAGAGCAAAAGCUCGGCCAAAAAAUUGAGGUAGUUGCCUUUGUAAAGGCAGAUAGCCUUUACAAAGGCUUUAUUUAUUUAUUUUUUUUUUAAAUUUUAAGUCGGCCCCUGGCUCGCGAGCCAUACGGGCCGGCUCGAUCCCGUGAACCAAUUUUUCAUCCCUAAUUUAUUUGCUAUUUAAUUAAGCCCCCGUUUGAACCCCAUUAUUUCUCAUUACAUUAAAUUAAAAUUUUCUCUCUCCUACUUUUAACCACACAACAAUCUUCAAUAAAAUAAUAUUACACGUAAAUGAAAAACUUUUCAACCACUCAUUUUUCAAAAAAAUAUUAUUCAUUUAAUUAUAAUUUACAAAUAAUGGGGCUCAAACGGCCCCUAAAAUUGCAAUUAAUUUUAACUCGGUCAAACAUAUAGUGCUUGAGGUUUCGACACUAUAUUCACUGCUUAAUUAUCUGUUCACGAUCUCAUUCACUUGUGAAAAAUCAAACUUUCAAGCUCAAUAUAUGGGGGUUACUAAUGCAAUAAUUAGCAGUUAAGGGCUGAUGAGAAGGAUGGACUACCCAUCAACAAAUUUAUUUUUAACAUCAACAAACGAUACUAAAAAUUUAUUUCUAGAUUAUAUGAUGAAAAUGAAUAAAAAAAUAACAUUCAAAAUACGACUAAAUAUAUCAUUACUAAAACUCCACGUGCAUCGCACGUGCUAGCAACUAGUAUGCAUACUAUAUGUUACAACACUUUGUCACGUGUGAUUGAAUAAAUUUGUUGGAAUUAUUGGGGAUCUAGUGUGUUGAAGUUUUGGUGGUUUUCUCCCAUUCUAGAGAAAAGGGAGAGCGUUUGGGGGUGGAGAGAGAGAGAGAGAGUAAAGGGGUGAGAAUAGUUUGGGUUUGGUUUAGGGGUUUUUUUUUUUUUUGGCAAAUACUACUGGUGUGACUUAUUUUAUAUAAUAAAAAGCUAUAAUACAAAUAAAGUAGGGGGCAUAGACCUGACCUCCAGUUUUGCACUGAGUCGGCUUUAGUGUGAUUGUUAUUACUUAAUUUCACAUAACAUAGCCAUUGCCAUCUCUGAGAUAUUGUUGUGUCAAAAAUUACUCUUUAGAAUCUAUAAUAAAUGAAAGGGAAGAAAAUUGGGUUGCUUCCCAAUUAAUGCUUUCUGCGGAUGUGUUCAAUUGUACCAUAACUCUUCAUUUUUUUAGUUAUUCCUAACAUCUAUUGUCCAUAUAUUAAAGUUGAAAAAUUCUAAUAUAUUGUGAAUCUCACAUCACCACUACAAGCAACUAAUUACCUAAGUGGAUCAAAAAAAGUUCGUAUCAUAAAAGGAAAGUUGACCAUGUGGAGCCGAAAAAACUUCAUGCCCACACAUGAUAUAUCUGCUUGCCUACGCAUGGGUAAGAAUAAAAUUGACCGCGGGUGUAGAAAAGUUGCCUCUUGUGCAAGCAAGGGCGUGUGCAUGGUAAAAAAAAAAAUGAUUUCGAUUUUCAUUCCUUCCUUCCAAUUACACUUCAGCUAAUUGAGUUUUACCUAACAAACAAUAAAUACAUGAAAUUAGGUCAUAAUUAAUCAUAAAAACUCUUAAAUGUCUAUAUUUAAAGGCCUAGACACCUAUCAGAGGGAAGCAUGGGGAAUGUGGAAGGAUGUGCAACACAUUCAUGAAAAAGAGAUUAGGAUGAAAAAAAAGUAAUGUUAUAUGAUGUUUAUAAAUGAAAAUUAAAAAUGAGUCAUUUUUUACUUUGACCCUUAUAAUUUAGUCACUUGAAAAGUUCAUCAAAAUUCUUGUUUGUUCAUGCUUAAAAGCUAUAUUCACUUUAGGCACCGUUCUAUAGGUGAUAUUGAUUUAUUCCUGGAUGUUUACUGAAUAGACGUUGGUCAGCCCGUUGUUGCCGGUGUAGGCGUGUUGGGUGGUCCCGUUUGUAGGUUUGGUAAGAAUCAGUCUAUCCUAUUUUACUGUUUUUAUUGUGAAAAUUAUUUUUGAUUUCAUUAUAUUCAAUUAUGUCUUCAGUCUCAAAUUGGCUAGGGAGAUCUAGGUCUAGAAAUAGACAAAAUUCAAAUUAAAUUAGAACAAAUAUUUUUCAAACAGAAUAAAACAAAUAUUUUUCAAACAGAAGAAGAAAUUGAUAAUGCAUCAACAUCAGAGGACUUCAACUCAAAUGAACUUCAAAUUGCACAAAUUGAACAACGUCUUCAAAAUUGGACCAUUCCAAAGAUAGAUAAACAUUUUAUUUAUGAAAUAGGAAAAUUUGAUUUCACUCAAAAUUAUGUUAUCAAAACAUUUGAACAAACAAUUUCAAUUAAUAGUUCAAAUGCAUUCAUCAAUUUAUUUUCAAAAGAAUCUAUUGAAUCUCAUAAGAAGAAGUUCAAAUAUCUUCAUGUGGGAUUAGUUCAAAUUGCAGUUAAACCUUUGUUUAGACUUGGUCUAGACAUUCCAAUUUUAAUUACUCUUAGAUAUAAGAGACAUCUCAAACUUGAAAAUUCAUUACUUUCACUUCUUGAAUCAAAUCUUGAAAGUGGUCCAGUAUUUUCAAACUGUUAUCCAAACUUUUCAAUAAAAUUGACAGAUGGAGCAAUUUUAAAUUCUCUAAAUCUUUAUAUAUAGACUAAAGACCUUGAGUUUGAUAGUAGAUCAAAUGCAUUUACUGUAAUAUAUAGGAUAUAUUACAAACUUAUGAACACUCAACUCAAUAUAGGUGCUCUUCAUUCUUCACCAAGAGAGGAAAGUCUUUUGGUAGAAGUCAAUCCUUUUCAUUCAAAUGUUGAAAUUCCUAAAAGAAUUCCAUGGAAUCUUCAAUCCAGAGGACUCGAAUGGAAUUUUGAAAAUAUUCAAGCUCCCAUUCCUGCUCAAACUCAUACAAUUCCUAAUGAAAUUUUAACUUUUUUUUGAUGGAAAAGCUAAAGUCAUCUUCGAAGGAUCUUCAUCCAGAAUUCGAAGAUCUUUUUCUUCCAAAUCUUCUAGAUCUGAGGAAAAACCAAGAAAUUCUUUUCAAUCUUCAAGAAACUCUACGUCGUCGUUCAAAGGAGUUGAUUUUACUCCUAAUAUUCCAAAUCCUUUUUAUCAACCUAAAGAAAAAGAAGAAGAAACUGAGCAACCAGAGUCUCCUACUUUUUCUUACAUGGUUCCUCCUUCAAAUCAAGAUAUUGAUCAUCAAUGCAAUGUAAUUUUUUCUAAAAUUGACAGAAGAAAAGAGUUCAAAUAUGAUCAAGAUAUUUGUGUUAAAAAAUUUAGAAAACUUUUUAGAGAAAGUUUUUCUUCAAAACAAAAGAAAAAAUAUUGGGAAGAUUAUUUUGAAUCUUCUACAAAUUUAAGUUUUUAUGAUUGGAUUCAAUUCAAAGUUUUAGGUAAAAACCCAAAAAAAAAAAACUCAAAUCCUUACUACAAAAAUUCCUUGAAAAUCUUGGAAAACUCCUGAAGGAAACACUUUUCAAUCUAUUCAUCCUCCUAUGCAAGAAAUAGUUUUUUCUCAAGGAAAAACUGAUAUACCUGCAUCUCCUCUCAAAUGAAUUCCAAAGGAACGAUCUGAUGAUUCUCAGGUUGUUGCUAAGGAUAUCAAAAAUAUUCAAUCUUAGAACAAUUACACUAAUAUUGUUCUACAAUCCAUUUGUUCUCAAUUAAAUCGUAUUGAAUCAAAUUCUGAAUCAGAAGCUUUUACUUCUCAAAAGGAUUCUUUUAAAGAAUCUCGAGAUGGUAAAAGUAAAGAUAAGAAUUUGUCCAAAGCAUCUUCCUCAUCAAUCUUCAAAAAUGAUUAUUUAAUUCCACGAUUUGGAAAAUCUUCAAAUCUUUCUACUGAAAAUGAAGUUCUUUCAGAACUUGUUACUCAAUUAAAAAAUUUUCAUGUUUCAAAAAACAUCAAUACUAUUGAUGAACUUGAAUCUCAUUUUAUUGAUGAAAAAUUUAAUUCUAUUAAUAAGCUAAGAAAAUCUGAUUAUCAAAAUAUUCCAAAAUUUUAUCCUCGUCCUUCAUUUCCUGAUCAACUUUUCGAAGAAAAGUCUCCUCCUCAAAAAUCUUAUGAUGGUAAUUUCGGAGUUGAAUGAAACUUAGACGGACUUACUGAAUUUCAAAUUAUCAAUUUAAUGGGACAAAUGACCAUUUGGUACAAGACCUUUCUUGCAAAAGCCAAUUCAAUAAUUGAAGCUACAAAUAAUAUUGUUAUUGGAUUCACAGGACAACUUGGUCGAUGUUGGGAUAAUUAUCUCCCAAAAACUGAGAAAGAUAUUUUAUUUUCCUCUGCCAAACGUGAUGAAAAUAACAGUAUUAUUCGUAACGAAAGUGAAGAAGAAAUUAAUGAUAGUUUUACUGUUAUUGGUUUAACUAUUAUCAAACAUGUCAUUGGUUUGGUCUGUAUCUCGGUUCGGUUCAAUUAAUAACCACGAAAAUAAAUUAUUUUUUAUAGAUCAAUCUGUCAAAUUGAUAUAAAACAAUUUAUGAAAAGAGAGUCAAUGAAAACAAAAAUACAA
rnacentral:lncRNA from 1 species